rnacentral:rRNA from 1 species
UACGUAGGAUGCGAGCGUUAAUCGGAAUUACUGGGCGUAAAGCGUGCGCAGGCGGUUUUGCAAGCCGGAUGUGAAAUCCCCGGGCUUAACCUGGGAAUGGCAUUUGGGACUGCAAGGCUGGAGUGCGGCAGAGGAGACUGGAAUUCCUGGUGUAGCGGUGGAAUGCGCAGAUAUCAGGAGGAACACCAAUAGCGAAGGCAGCUCGCUGGGACGGUACUGACGCUAAGGCGCGAAAGCGUGGGGAGCGAACAGG